rnacentral:sRNA from 1 species
AAGGUUCGAUUCGAGCGCAGCGAGAAAGCGUUGCCGCAGGCAACGACCCGAAGGGCGAAGCGCGUAGCGCUGAGUCAUCCUUCCCCCACCACCA